AGCUUCGCCCAGUGGCAGUAUUGCAGCCAAUGAAGUUUAUCUGAUGUGUGAUUAUUGCUAGUUGAAAACUUUCCCCAAAGUCU
ensembl:snRNA U4 U4 spliceosomal RNA